UUCCACGCGAUCAGGGUUCCUCAGGCUUGACAUUCAAAAGUGGGUGCGGAACCCGCGGCACUCGGAGCGUGCUUUAAAGCGGCCGCCAGCCAGCGCCGCUCUAACCUCGCGCCCCGGCUGCCGGCGGCUCCCGCCCUGCAUCUGCGCCGACGCGACCGAGCGAUCCCGGGGCCUCCCUGCGCCCGGAAUCUCCCGCCAGCCGCGCGGGUCCCCACGGCAGCAGCACGUGGAGCGGCCGCGGAGCCUGAGCGACAGCUGCAGCCCGCGCGGCCCGCGGCGACAUGGAAGAUAUACAACCGACUGUGGAGCUGAAAAGCACGGAGGAGCAGCCUCUGCCCACAGAGAGCCCAGACGCUCUGAAUGACUACAGCUUGCCCAAACCUCAUGAGAUAGAAAACGUGGACAGUAGAGAAGCCCCAGCCAAUGAAGACGAAGAUGCAGGAGGUAAGCCACGCUCCACAUGUACAUGCCUCAUGGUGACAGAAACAGUGGAUGUGGAAUCAACUCAAAUUUGUCCGAUUCACGUAUAUUUGGGGGGAGAUGGCUCAGCAGUUAAGCACUCCUGCUGCUCUGCCAGGGUCCUAGGUUGGCUCCCACCGCCCAUGUCAGGUGACUCGCUAUAACCAGUAACUCCAGGUGACCUUAUGGUGUCUAUGGGCACUUGUGCUCACUCGGCAUACAGACACACACACACACACAGUCACAUGCAUUACACCAAUAUUUUGAGAAUUUAAGAUACUUAUUCAUUGUUCACAUUAUACUAACUUUACUAUAUGUUGGCCGGAUUUGGUGGCACACGUGUAUGACCCCAGCUCUUAUGGAGCUGAGGUAGGACAAGCAUGACAUAAGACCAUUCUGGGCUAUGUAUCCAGAACAAUGUAUUCAGACCCUGUCUCAAGCAACGCAAAAUGAAAUGCUUGUUUUACCGUGUUUCAUUAUAAAAAUAACAAGUGUCCGAAGUUGGGGGUAUCUCCCAACAGCCAGUUCUCCAGACGUAACUGAUUAGACAGCAAUUCAAUUAUUUUUAAAUUUUUAUUUAUUUUUAUUGGAGGUAGAAGUGUCUGUGAAGGUCAGAAGACACCCCAUGGGAGUCACUUCGCUCGCGAUCAAACUCAGGGUGUCAGCCUUUAUUUUCAUAUUUCCUGUAUUCUUGCUGCUCUGGCAUUGAGGGAUCUUAUGAACCCAGGGGGAGACUAUAAUGCUCUUGAUGGGGAGUUUGUUUUUGUUUUUUUGGGGUUUUCAUGCUCAAACCAACUACUCCCGAGUCUACACCAACAAUUACAUCCUUAUUUCCAGCUCCUACACCAAGUCUUAAAUCAACUUAAGGCCUCUUACUGGACAGCCAGAAACCAAUCCUCUGCCCCAACAAGAGCAUUCUAAGUAACCUCCCCUAAACUUCUGGCUCCGCCUUGCCUUUCUCACAGAAACUCCAGGAAAGAGUUUUACACGUCAUCUUAACACCAAUGGUGCGUUCUUCAUGGCACCAUAAUAAAGGAAACUAUCUUCUUCCUUCCAAUCCUCCUUUUCAUGUCUCUGUACAUUCUCACAUGCAUGCUUAACUUUGGCAUUUCCUGUGGCCUGGUUCUGGGCCUAUUCAGCAGGUGGCUAUCCAGCCAACCAUAAAGCCAGCCCUGCAUGGCUUGAAUGGGAGGUAUAGCUGCUGUUCUAUCUGGACGAUCCCCUUGGCUUAUGAGAGGAGUUAGGUAGGUGACUGCAAGUUAAACAGUGGCUCAUCCCAUCUUCCAGGCUGGUAGUUUCCUCAGGAAUAGUCCGUGAUUGGGGAUCCUGAAUCAGCCCACGCAUGCCUGACUAUUGGCAGCAGGAAGAGUCAGUGCUAGAGGGCUUUGCUCAGGGUAGAGUGUGUACUUAUCACACUCAAGGUCCUGGGUUCCAUUGCCAGCUAGAAAGAAAAAGAAAAAUGAAGGGUUAAAAUACCACCCCUAAAUAAGCUCACAGUUCAUUCUAGUAAGGGUUCAUCAGGAGGUUGACCAUAAAGGCUUACAAAAUAACGUCACUCCGCCCACACUCUACCCCUGGCUUCAUUUCUUGGUUGUACCCUCCCAUACCUGGAUCUCUCUCUCUCUCUCUCUUGGCACCCCAAGUGUGUGUGCAUGCAUGCAUGUGUGUGGAAACACUGCAGAAGCACACGGGUGAGUGGGGGUUAGCGGUUAAGAUGGAGCGUCUUGACUGAUUGCUCCCCACUUUCUAUGUUGAGGCAGGCUCUCCCACUGAACCCAGAGCUUGACGCUUGUCUAGUCUAGCUAGUCAGUUUGCCGGGGAGAUCCCCUGUCUCUGCCCCUGAUGCAGGGGUCACAGUUGAGCUACCACACCUGCCUGGUUUUUACAUGGCUGCUGGGGAUUUGAACUCUGAUCCUCUGCUUGUGUAGCAGGUGCUUAAGCCGUGGAUCUGUCUCUGUAGCCCUUGUCCAGACACAGGCGGCAUCUUGUUCCUGCGUGAUUUCUUUUCCCUUUAGAGACACAGCAUGGAAUCUAAUAUCCAAAGCUCAGGUCAGAUGUAAUCUGAGCUUGGUCUGGCUUCAAGACUUGAUCCAAUGCGUUCUUUGCCUAUAAUUUAACUAUUACAAUAGCAGCCAAAGGGUUAAACAUCUUACUCCUCAUCUUAGCUGCAUCCUUGGACAUCCCAGUGCCUUGGGAGUUGGCCAUUGGUAACUUUUGCCUUUAGUAGCUGAUUGGAACACUGUCGUUGUGGCCCCACACCCUGAGUAACAAUACAGCCACCCAGGAAUCAAAGGUUCAGUACUCCCCCCCCCACCCUUUUUUUUCCUUUUCUGUAAGCCACAGCUGAGCUGUCAAGUCCUGCUUCGGACACCAGUUCUGAGGUGUUUUCCACACUGACAACCAAAGGCAGAGCUUUAGUUGUUGAGUGUCUGUUUAGUUCUGGCGUUAAUUCCCAGGAUUGGGACGGGCACAGUGGGUUAAGGCUUCCAUCUUAUAAGGGAGCCCCCUGCUUCAGACAUCAGCCACAGUACAGAGCCCGGUGCAGCUUGGACAAACACACAGACAUCGCUUUACUUACUGUUAAUGCUUUAUUAUAAAUCAUUCGACUCAGAAGCAGUCAAAUGGAAGGGAGCACAGGCCAGGGCUUGGGAGGAAGCAGGUAGAACUCUCAUGCCUUCUCCAGGCAUGUCCCCCGUUCCCAACAGCACCUCCGUGUGUUCCCCAGCAUGGAGCCUCUCAAGUUCACUGUCCAAGAUUUUAUUUGGAUCUCCAGCCCUUCAUGUUCUUUCCCAGAGAUCAGUGGGUGAGCCUGGGGUCCCAACCUAAGUCACCUCAUUAGCAUAAACUCAUGAAUAGUGAAAGGGUUUUGUUGUGAAUCACAACAUCUCAUGAUCACGAAGAAACCACACGAGUUUUAGGAGUUGUGUGCCUAGAAGAAAGAACCGGAACAAAGACCAAAUACAUCUUUGCAAUGUACUUUAGUCUGUAAGGUUCAUAGAAGAGGAAAGCAAGAAGAAAAAAAUUUCAAAGCAAAACAAAACAAAAAAGACCAAAAGCAGGAAGGAAAAAAAAUCUGUAUUCCACUAUUCAAACAUUCUAGACUGAACUUUGGGGCUUUUGUUGGUGUGUGCACUGAAUUUCAGCACGGAGUGCUUGUUUGCAAUGCUCUUAUGUCAUGCAAAUAAAUGAUGGUGACAAGUCUCAUCCACUGCUGCCUUGCGAAUGUCACUGGGAUCUCAUCUAAAAUAUCAUUUCUUUAGAGGUUUCCCUGACAACCUGGUCAACACUUUAACUGCAUUUUAUUCUGCAGUGCUAGCCUAGCAACAGAUAACUCUCCUCCUGUAUCCGUUAACUGUCAUUCUCCUUCCCCUCUUUCUUGACUGGCAUCUAGGACAUCUUUUUUACUAGUAGGUACCUCACCCAUAGUAGAUGUGCAAUAAAUGUUUGUUGUAUGACUAAAAGAAAGCCCUGGGUUAAUUGCGUGUGUUCCUACAUAUUUCUCCGAAGAAAAGUGUUUUCUUCUCAGACUCUCUCUUUUGCCCGAUCACUCAUGACCAAGAAAUUGAGUUCCUUGUCUAAAAUUUCUGAGAUUCAAAUCACAGCUUUAGCGCAUAUUCCUGAUCUGCCGAGCUAUACAUUAAUUCGUGCCAGUUUUUAACCACAGAGUCAGCAAAUACUGCUGCGCAGGAUGUGGUCGUGUGUGCUGAGGAAAGGCGCAUGGUGGCUCUGAUUCGGCAGCUUCUCGAUGGGGACAUCCAUCGGGUUACAUUCAGGAUGAGGCAAAGCUGUGCCCACACUUUUCUAGGUUAGGGCUUCUGAGUUCUGGUAGUCACCACAGUAAGUUUUUAUUUGGGACGACAGCAACCUCUACACAGCGGUUGGUCUGGGAACCGAUAAUCCAUGUUGGGAUAUCUGCAGGGUUUUGAAUAACCUCAGAGUUAGUACUCCAACAUAAACAUGGAAACAGAUAGUUCUCAUGCAACAAUAAGAAUUUAAAAUACUCAUAUGGCAGAGGCAGGAGAAUCUCUGUGAGUUUGAAGCUAACUUGGGUUAAUAGAAAGUUCCAGGCUAGCCUUGGAUAUAUAGAGACUUUGUCUCAAAAUAUU
rnacentral:lncRNA from 1 species